UACCAGCACCCCGAGUGGUCGGGACGAUUAUUGGGCCUAAAGCAUCCGUAGCCGGUUCUGCAAGUCCCCCGUUAAAUCCAGCUGCUCAACAGAUGGGCCGCGGAGGAUACUACAGAGCUAGGAGGCAGGAGAGGCAAGCGGUACUCAGUGGGUAGGGGUAAAAUCCGUUGAUCCAUUGAAGACCACCAGUGGCGAAGGCGGCUUGCCAGAAUGGGCUCGACGGUGAGGGAUGAAAGCUGGGGGAGCAAACCGG
rnacentral:rRNA from 1 species